AGAGCGAACGCUGGCGGCAGGCCUAACACAUGCAAGUCGAGCGCCAGGCAAUGGGAGCGGCAGACGGGAUAGUAACACGUGGGAACGUACCUUUCAGUUCGGAACAACCCAGGGAAACUUGGGCUAAUACCGAAUACGCCCGUAAGGGGAAAGAUUUAUCGCUGAAAGAUCGGCCCGCGUCUGAUUAGCUAGUUGGUGGGGUAAUGGCCCACCAAGGCGACGAUCAGUAACUGGUCUGAGAGGAUGAUCAGCAUCACUGGGACUGAGACACGGCCCAGACUCCUACGGGAGGCAGCAGUGGGGAAUAUGACAAUGGCGCAAGCCUGAUCCAGCCAUGCCGCGUGGAUGAUGAAGGCCCUAGGGUUGUAAAGUCCGUUUCGGCGGGAAGAUAAUGACGGUACCCGCAGAAGAGCCCGGCUAACUUCGUGCCAGCAGCCGC
rnacentral:rRNA from 1 species